rnacentral:rRNA from 1 species
UACGUAGGGUGCAAGCGUUGUCCGGAAUUAUUGGGCGUAAAGAGCUCGUAGGCGGUCUGUCACGUCGGCUGUGAAAUCCCGAGGCUCAACCUCGGGUCUGCAGUCGAUACGGGCAAACUAGAGUAUUGCAGGGGAGACUGGAAUUCCUGGUGUAGCGGUGAAAUGCGCAGAUAUCAGGAGGAACACCGGUGGCGAAGGCGGGUCUCUGGGCAAUACUGACGCUGAGGAGCGAAAGCGUGGGGAGCAAACAGGAUUAGAACCGU